CGGAUAAGAGGCUGAAACUCGCCUCUUUGAAGUCGGAAUCGCUAGUAAUCGCAGAUCAGCAUGUUGCGGUGAAUACGUUUCCUGGUCUUGUACACACCGCCCGUCAAACCAUGAGAGUCGCCAACACCCGAAGUCCGCUUUGCGGCCUAAGGUGGGGGAGAUGAUUGGGUUAAGUCGUAACAAGGUAUC
rnacentral:rRNA from 1 species